GAUGAACGCUGGCGGCGUGCCUAAUACAUGCAAGUCGAGCGAACGGACGAGAAGCUUGCUUUUCUGAUGUUAGCGGCGGACGGGUGAGUAACACGUGGAUAACCUACCUAUAAGACUGGGAUAACUUCGGGAAACCGGAGCUAAUACCGGAUAAUAUUUUGAACCGCAUGGUUCAAAAGUGAAAGACGGUCUUGCUGUCACUUAUAGAUGGAUCCGCGCUGCAUUAGCUAGUUGGUAAGGUAACGGCUUACCAAGGCAACGAUGCAUAGCCGACCUGAGAGGGUGAUCGGCCACACUGGAACUGAGACACGGUCCAGACUCCUACGGGAGGCAGCAGUAGGGAAUCUUCCGCAAUGGGCGAAAGCCUGACGGAGCAACGCCGCGUGAGUGAUGAAGGUCUUCGGAUCGUAAAACUCUGUUAUUAGGGAAGAACAAAUGUGUAAGUAACUAUGCACGUCUUGACGGUACCUAAUCAGAAAGCCACGGCUAACUACGUG
rnacentral:rRNA from 1 species